rnacentral:rRNA from 1 species
UACGUAGGGGGCUAGCGUUGUCCGGAAUCAUUGGGCGUAAAGAGCGUGUAGGCGGUUCGGUAAGUCUGUCGUGAAAUCCUGAGGCUCAACCUCGGACGUGCGAUGGAUACUGCCGGGCUAGAGGAUGGUAGAGGCGAGUGGAAUUCCCGGUGUAGCGGUGAAAUGCGCAGAUAUCGGGAGGAACACCAGUAGCGAAGGCGGCUCGCUGGGCCAUUCCUGACGCUGAGACGCGAAAGCUAGGGGAGCGAACAGG